AUUGAACGCUGGCGGCAUGCCUUACACAUGCAAGUCGAACGGUAACAGGUUAAGCUGUCGCGUGGCGAACGGGUGAGUAAUGUAUCGGAACGUGCCCCGUCGUGGGGGAUAACUGCUCGAAAGAGCAGCUAAUACCGCAUACGACCUGAGGGUGAAAGCGGGGGAUCGCAAGACCUCGCGCGAUUGGAGCGGCCGAUAUCAGAUUAGGUAGUUGGUGAGGUAAAGGCUCACCAAGCCGACGAUCUGUAGCUGGUCUGAGAGGACGACCAGCCACACUGGGACUGAGACACGGCCCAGACUCCUACGGGAGGCAGCAGUGGGGAAUUUUGGACAAUGGGCGCAAGCCUGAUCCAGCCAUGCCGCGUGCGGGAAGAAGGCCUUCGGGUUGUAAACCGCUUUUGUCAGGGAAGAAAAGGUUCUGGCUAAUACCUGGGACUCAUGACGGUACCUGAAGAAUAAGCACCGGCUAACUACGUG
rnacentral:rRNA from 1 species